UUGAGGAUUUAAGGAUGAGUUUGUGUCCACUGUGGUUGGUAUGAUAUGUCUGUUUGUCUGCCUUUAAUCUACUGACAGGGUUUACUGGAGAUAAAUAACAAAUUUCAGUUCUGUUUAAUAUGAGUUUAUGAGUUAUUAUUAUUAAAAAACAUCAUGUUCAUUUAACCAUGUAGCAACUGAUAUAAUACUGUGAAAAAAUGACUUUGUUACAAGGAGACUGUGAUCGUUUCUCUGUCUGGUGUAGAAGAGUAAAGCAAAAUUAAAGAAAUAAUCUUCAUUCAUACAAAAAUUUCAAUUUAUAUCAUUAAUUUAAUAUUUAUAGAUUCAAUAAAGUAUGAAGUUUUCUGUAUUGUUAUAAAAAGCAGAGAGUAUUUUCAGUGGAUAGAUGCUUGUUCACAGUGCAGGAGGUUUUUGUACGGCCACUUAAUGAGUUUGUAUCACUGUGGUGGACUUUUGGUGGAGGAACCAAACUCAUCAUUAACUCUGGCACCAUGGUCAGGCCCUCAGUCUCUCUGCUUCCCCCCUCCUCUGAGCAGCUCUCUGGGGGCUCGGCCACGCUGGCCUGCCUGCUGACCGGCUACUCUCCUCAGGGAGCCGUGGUGAGCUGGCAGGUGGACGGUACGGAGGUGACGGAGGGGGUCCUGAGCAGCUCAGAGGAGGAGAAGAGCGGCCGCUACAGCAGCAGCAGCACCCUGAGCCUGAGCCAGGAGCGCUGGAUGGAAGGAGAGCUGUACUCCUGCAGGGUCCUCCAUCAGGGCCACAGCCAGACCCAGUCCCUCCACAGGAGCCAGUGUAAGGGCUAGAGGGGCCGGCUGAAGCCCAGGACAGGAGCUCUGUGUGGGGGGGAGCAGCUCUGAUCAAUAGCAGUUUGAAUGCUUGUAGAGGAAACUGAAGCUUUGUGUGACAGAGAACAACACUGCUGUAAAGUGUUGGACAACAACAACUUAGAGAGGAAUGUGUGUCGCUCAGCAGCUUCAUGUGAGUGAGCUUAAUAACUGUCAUGUUGAUCACUGAUGUUGUUGCUAAUAAAGAUUUCACUGAUACAUAACUUCA